rnacentral:rRNA from 1 species
UCUACGGGAGGCAGCAGUGGGGAAUAUUGCACAAUGGGGGAAACCCUGAUGCAGCGACGCCGCGUGAGUGAAGAAGUAAUUCGUUAUGGAAAGCUCUAUCAGCAGGGAAGUAAAUGACGGUACCUGAGUAAUAAGCCCCGGCUAACUACGUUCCAGCAGCCGUGGUAAUAAGUAGGGGGCAAGCGUUAUCCGGAUUUACUCGGUGUAAAGGGAGCGUAGACGGUAGUGCAAGUCUGGAGUGAAAGGCGGGGGAUCAACCCCCGGACUGAUCUGGAAACUGUACGGCUGGAGUGCAGGAGAGGUAAGUGGAAUUCCUAGUGGAGCGGUGAAAUGCGUAGAUAGUAGGAGGAACACC